UACUUGCUCAAGCAUUUCAGGGUGGGU
rnacentral:piRNA from 1 species